GCCCGAGUGGCGGAAUUGGCAGACGCAAGGGACUUAAAAUCCCUCGGGACUUAGUCCUGUGCCGGUUCGAGUCCGGCCUCGGGCA
rnacentral:tRNA from 1 species